rnacentral:lncRNA from 1 species
CCUCCAGCAAGCCACGUAUGGCAAAAGAUGAUUAUAAUUCACAGGGUUACAGUACAGAUGGACACUAUCAGGUUUUAUUAAUAUGAUUAUAUCAUCAAGAACUUCUUCAGGAAAACCAGUUCUUUCAAAGUCAUUGUUACUCUGAUUAUACAAGCCAAAAAGCAGAUAGUUAGCCAGCUCCCUGCAGCCUUCAUUGUAUCGACUGUCUAUUCCUAAAAUGCAAAGGAUUCCAUCAGGCUGAGAUUUGCUGCUUUGUGUCAGGAUGCUCUGGAUGUUUCGCAGGCGGCUGCAGCUGACGAAGGCCUCGGCGGCCCUGGGGCGGCGCGCUGCGGGACGCGGGGACGGCCGGAGGAGCGCCGAGCGGCCGCACAGCGCCAUAGCGACGGCGAUGCAGCGCUCGGGCGGCGGAGCCGGCAGCACUGCGGCCACUGCGCCCCGCC